rnacentral:rRNA from 1 species
AUUGAACGCUGGCGGCAUGCCUUACACAUGCAAGUCGAACGGCAGCACGGGAGCAAUCCUGGUGGCGAGUGGCGAACGGGUGAGUAAUAUAUCGGAACGUGCCCAGUCGUGGGGAUAACGUAGCGAAAGCUACGCUAAUACCGCAUACGAUCUAUGGAUGAAAGCGGGGGAUCGCAAGACCUCGCGCGAUUGGAGCGGCCGAUAUCAGAUUAGGUAGUUGGUGAGGUAAAGGCUCACCAAGCCGACGAUCUGUAGCUGGUCUGAGAGGACGACCAGCCACACUGGGACUGAGACACGGCCCAGACUCCUACGGGAGGCAGCAGUGGGGAAUUUUGGACAAUGGGCGCAAGCCUGAUCCAGCAAUGCCGCGUGCAGGAUGAAGGCCUCGGUUGUUAACGUA